rnacentral:rRNA from 1 species
UGCAGUCGAACGAUGAUGCCCAGCUUGCUGGGUUGAUUAGUGGCGAACGGGUGAGUAACACGUGAGUAACCUGCCCCUGACUCUGGGAUAAGCGUUGGAAACGACGUCUAAUACUGGAUAUGAUCGCCGGCCGCAUGGUCUGGUGGUGGAAAGAUUUUUUGGUUGGGGAUGGACUCGCGGCCUAUCAGCUUGUUGGUGAGGUAAUGGCUCACCAAGGCGACGACGGGUAGCCGGCCUGAGAGGGUGACCGGCCACACUGGGACUGAGACACGGCCCAGACUCCUACGGGAGGCAGCAGUGGGGAAUAUUGCACAAUGGGCGAAAGCCUGAUGCAGCAACGCCGCGUGAGGGAUGACGGCCUUCGGGUUGUAAACCUCUUUUAGUAGGGAAGAAGCGAAAGUGACGGUACCUGCAGAAAAAGCACCGGCUAACUACGUGCCAGCAGCCGCGGUAAUACGUAGGGUGCAAGCGUUGUCCGGAAUUAUUGGGCGUAAAGAGCUCGUAGGCGGUUUGUCGCGUCUGCUGUGAAAUCCCGAGGCUCAACCUCGGGCUUGCAGUGGGUACGGGCAGACUAGAGUGCGGUAGGGGAGAUUGGAAUUCCUGGUGUAGCGGUGGAAUGCGCAGAUAUCAGGAGGAACACCGAUGGCGAAGGCAGAUCUCUGGGCCGUAACUGACGCUGAGGAGCGAAAGCAUGGGGAGCGAACAGGAUUAGAUACCCUGGUAGUCCAUGCCGUAAACGUUGGGCGCUAGAUGUAGGGACCUUUCCACGGUUUCUGUGUCGUAGCUAACGCAUUAAGCGCCCCGCCUGGGGAGUACGGCCGCAAGGCUAAAACUCAAAGGAAUUGACGGGGGCCCGCACAAGCCGCGGAGCAUGCGGAUUAAUUCGAUGCAAC